rnacentral:rRNA from 1 species
UACGGAGGGGGCUAGCGUUGUUCGGAAUUACUGGGCGUAAAGCGCACGUAGGCGGCUUUGUAAGUUAGAGGUGAAAGCCCGGAGCUCAACCCCGGAAUUGCCUUUAAGACUGCAUCGCUUGAAUCAUGGAGAGGUGAGUGGAAUUCCGAGUGUAGAGGUGAAAUUCGUAGAUAUUCGGAAGAACACCAGUGGCGAAGGCGACUCACUGGACAUGUAUUGACGCUGAGGUGCGAAAGCGUGGGGAGCAAACAGG